CUGCUCUUUGCCCAGCAGGUCCAGGAUCGUGGUGGCAGAGUCCCCGAUGGCACUUGGACUGGAAGCUGACCUGCACGUGGAGUCAAAGAAAAAAAGAACUACUUCACCACUUGAGCCAUGAUCAGGUUCUCCAGGAAUUCUUUGGCGCCAUCUCGUGGACGUGAGCGGCAAGAACAUGCUAGUGUCCAGGAGAAUGAAGGAAGUCAGGAGGCUGUCGUGACUGCAGGUCAUCUCCAGGACACCUGAAAAUGAGACGAGUGAGGGACCAGUCAAGCUGCCGUUUAGCUCAGGAUCUUGCUGGCAGAGUCUCCGAUGGCACUUCGACUGGGAACUGACCUGCAUGUGGAGUCAAAGAAAAAGCAGGAAGUUGAUCAUGACGCCAUGUUUCCACCACCUGGAACAACAAAUGGUACUCCAGGAAGUCUUUAGCGCCACCUGGUGGACGUGAGCAAGAAGAUAAAGAACUUGAGGGUUCUGGCUGCCGCACAUCUCAGAGUGCAACUUUGGGGGAACUGCAGAGGAGAACAAUGUUAAAAACUUAUGUCAGCCAUUUUUUAUUAUUUUUUUUAUACAAAAUGGCUUGUUCCUCAGCGCUCCAUUAAGUCGAAGCAGUCAUCACUGCUGGAAAGUCAUCUCGGGUGUCCUUACCCUCCUUCAGUCCUUCAGAUUCUUCCUGUGUUGAUACAGAAGCACCACAACAUUAAACAUUAACCCCAACAUUUGGUGUUGCCAUCGAGUGAGUGUUGCCACCUGAACUGUGAUGAUGUCGCUGGAGGCUGCCUGGUCAGCUCGUGCUGAAAGAAAUGAGUCACUUUUGUUUUUGUUUUUUUUACAUGUAUGAAAGUUUGUCUCACCAGUGAGGCGAGCAGGGCGCAGCCGGACGCCUCGUCAACGACGGCCUGAAAGACACGACAACACUGUUAGCGUUCGACAUCGCCCAAUUCAGCCCCACGAGCCAGUUUGACUUCAGAACGGGACAAUUGAGCGAGGCGUUUAUCAGUAGACCCACAAAAGGCUCAAGAGGCCUGCCCCGAAAGUCAGAGGAAGUCAGCCAUUUUGUUGAAGAUUUGAACCUGUAAUCAGAAAUGAGAAUUAACCCAAAGACCAUUAAUUGAUUUAUUCUGUUUAAUAAAGGAUAUGCUGUGUCGAGA